CCAGGAUGGCCCCAUCAUUGCUCUUCUUUCAGUGGCAUGUAAACAUUUUUUGUGCCAUCAGGGUUUUUAAAGGCUUUCAAAUGCUGAGCAAGUCAAAUAUCAAGGAGAACAUGAAGAUCCAACUGUUUCCUGGAAGACUCAAUGGAAUGUUGUCUGAAGUGGGAGUGGAAAAACAAGCUAAAAUUUAACUCAAACAAGAAGUGUGCAGAGAAAGAAAUAAUGACACUGCGGAGCUGAGAAACCUGUUUCACUUCCAUGACAGAAAAGAGACCAGAUGACAUAAUGGAAUCUUACCUUUUUGUAGCAUACUAGAAUGCCAAUAAAGUGUAGGUUUGAUCCUAAGAAAAUACAGCAAAGUCAUUUCUGAUGUCAUAUGUACGCU